rnacentral:rRNA from 1 species
GUGAAAUUGUUGAAAGGGAAACGAUUGAAGCCAGUCGUACCGUCGGGAAAUCAACCUUUCGACGCGAUCCCGUGAGCGCGUGGGAGUUUAAACCCCUGCGUUUUCAAGUUCCGUGUUCUUUUGGCGUACUUUCUCGUGUGGUAGGUUAACAUCAAUUUUGGCGGUCGUAAAAUGAUCGGAGGAAUGUGGCUUCGAUUUAUCGAAGUGUUAUAGACUCCGGCAGAUGCGAUUGCCGGGAUUGAGGAUUGCAACGAAUGCCUCUCGGGGCUAACCGCCUGAUCUCUAAUCGUCGCCUUGGUACCGGAAGCAUGCUUACGGUCUUCGAGGUUGAUGGUUACAAGGUUAGAACGGGAUAAAUUCGUUAAGGAUGUUGACGUAAUGGCUUUAAACGACCCGUCUUGAAACACGGACCAAGGAGUCUAACAUAUAUGCGAGUGUUUGGGUGACCAAACCCAUGCGCGUAAUGAAAGUAAUUUAGGUGGGAACACAUUUCGUGUGCACCAUCGACCGAUCAGGAUAUUUUUUGAUAGAUUUGAGUAAGAGCAUAUCUGUUGGGACCCGAAAGAUGGUGAACUAUGCCUGAAUAGGGUGAAGUCAGAGGAAACUCUGAUGGAGGCUCGUAGCGGUUCUGACGUGCAAAUCGAUCGUCAAAUUUGGGUAUAGGGGCGAAAGACUAAUCGAACCAUCUAGUAGCUGGUUCCUGCCGAAGUUUCCCUCAGGAUAGCAGAAACUCGAUAACAGUUUUAUGAGGUAAAGCGAAUGAUUAGAGG